UACGUAGGGGGCUAGCGUUGUCCGGAAUCAUUGGGCGUAAAGCGCGUGUAGGCGGUCCGGUAAGUCCGCUGUGAAAGUCGGGGGCUCAACCCUCGGAUGCCGGUGGAUACUGUCGGGCUUGAGUACGGAAGAGGCGAGUGGAAUUCCUGGUGUAGCGGUGAAAUGCGCAGAUAUCAGGAGGAACACCGAUGGCGAAGGCAGCUCGCUGGGACGUGACUGACGCUGAGACGCGAAAGCGUGGGGAGCAAACAGG
rnacentral:rRNA from 1 species